rnacentral:rRNA from 1 species
CAGUCAUGUCGGUUGGUUUCAGCUAGCUCUGCUAGUGUAUUACCUUCCGACGGGUCAACAUCAGUUUUGGUGCGGCGGAUAAGAACGGAUUGAAGGUGGCACCCUCGGGUGUGUUAUAGCCUCUUGUCGCAUACGUCGGUCGAGACUGAGGAACGCAGCUCGCCUUCAUGGCCGGGGUUCGCCCCGACGUCCGGGCUUAGGAUGUUGACAUAAUGGCUUUAAGCGACCCGUCUUGAAACACGGACCAAGGAGUCUAACAUAUGUGCGAGU